GAUGAACGCUAGCGGCAGGCCUAACACAUGCAAGUCGAGGGGUAACAUUGGAGCUUGCUUCAGAUGACGACCGGCGCACGGGUGCGUAACGCGUAUAGAAUCUACCUUAUACUAAGGGAUAGCCUUUGGAAACGAAGAUUAAUACCUUAUAGUAUGUUUACUUCGCAUGGAGUUCACAUUAAAGAUUACGGUAUAAGAUGACUAUGCGUUCUAUUAGCUAGAUGGUGUGGUAACGGCAUACCAUGGCAACGAUAGAUAGGGGCCCUGAGAGGGGGAUCCCCCACACUGGUACUGAGACACGGACCAGACUCCUACGGGAGGCAGCAGUGAGGAAUAUUGGACAAUGGAGGCAACUCUGAUCCAGCCAUGCCGCGUGCAGGAAGACUGCCCUAUGGGUUGUAAACUGCUUUUAUACGGGAAGAAACACUGCUACGUGUAGCAGCUUGACGGUACCGUAAGAAUAAAGGAUCGGCUAACUCCGUGCCAGCAGCCGCGGUAAUACGGAGGAUCCAAGCGUUAUCCGGAAUCAUUGGGUUUNAAGGGUCCGUAGGUGGAUAAUUAAGUCANAGGUGAAAGUUUGCAGCUCAACUGUAAGAUUGCCUUUGAUACUGGUUAUCUUGAAUUAUUAUGAAGUGGUUAGAAUAUGUAGUGUAGCGGUGAAAUGCAUAGAUAUUACAUAGAAUACCAAUUGCGAAGGCAGAUCACUAAUAAUAUAUUGACACUGAUGGACGAAAGCGUGGGGAGCGAACAGGAUUAGAUACCUGGUAGUCCACGCNGUAAACGAUGGAUACUAGCUGUUCGUCUUCGG
rnacentral:rRNA from 1 species